rnacentral:rRNA from 1 species
GAUGCUAGAUGUCGGGCCUUAACCGGUUCGGUGUCGAAGUUAACGCGAUAAGCAUCCCGCCUGGGGAGUACGUUCGCAAGGCUGAAACUCAAAGGAAUUGACGGGGGCCCGGCACAAGCGUUGGAGUAUGUGGUUUAAUUCGAUGCAACGCGAAGAACCUUACCUGGACUUGACAUCCUGAGAAUCCUCUAGAAAUAGAGGAGUGCCCUUCGGGGAAUUCAGUGACAGGUGCUGCAUGGCUGUCGUCAGCUUCGUGCCGUGAGGUGUUGGGUUAAGUCCCGCAACGAGCGCAACCCCUAUUGCUAGUUGCCAUCACAUAAUGGUGGGCACUCUAGUGAGACUGCCCGGGUCAACCGGGAGGAAGGUGGGGACGACGUCAAGUCAUCAUGGCCCUUACGUCCAGGGCUACACACGUACUACAAUGGUGGAUACAGAGGGUCGCGAAGCCGCGAGGUCGAGCCAAUCCCAGAAAAUCCAUCCCAGUCCGGAUCGCAGUCUGCAACUCGACUGUGUGAAGUUGGAAUCGCUAGUAAUCCCAAAUCAGCAUGCUGGGGUGAAUACGUUCCCGGGCCUUGUACACACCGCCCGUCACACCACGAAAGCUGGUUCUACCCAAAAUCGACGGACUAACCUU